CCUACAAAUAAUAUUUCUCUCUUUAUUCCCUUUCUAUUUUCUCUCUCCUCUGGAUACGCCUCUCUUCUCCAUCUUCUUCGACCUCACCACCAAACCAAAAAUUGAAACAGAUCAGAAGAAAUCAAAGAAAAAAUUACUAAAAUCAUUGCUCGUUAACCCAACCCCUUUCUCCGUCUUCUUCAUCUCCUCUAUAAAAUCCAAGUUCUCCCCGUGAACCCAAUUUAAACUUGUAACCACAGAACAAAGCAAAGAGUCAAAGGAGAUUAAAGCGAUGGCUAAGGGAAAUAUGGAUAAUGAGGCACUUCGGAAGGUUAUUUCUGUAUUAUCUCAAAAAAAAAACGAAUGCAAGGUGAGAUGCAAUAACAUCAAUUUUAUCUCAAAACAAAGAUAAGUAUUAUUGCUCCAUUAGUUUCUUCUAUUGUAUCCAUAUGGUUUUAUUAUUAUUAUGUAAGUAACUGGUGGUGGAUCACUAACAUUCUUGUUUGAGAAUUCAAGGAGAAGUCCAAAGCAACUGGAAGAUGAAAGUUCGGCAAGGUUACGCGCAUGCUGGUGUGGUUGCUUUGGUCACAUGGUUCUGCUGGGAAACAACUUUUGAGGUUCUACAAUUAUGAGUUUGAGUUAGCAUCAAGGAGAAUAUAAGGAGGGGGAAAUACUGGAAAUGCGUUAACUUGUGUUGCUCGCCUGGGACUAAAUUCUGGCUUAUUUGAAAGAUACUCUGCUCAUAUCCCAAUUCUGAGUUUGAAUUACUAACAUCUUAUGCCGAUAUGCUGCUUGAAAUGCUACUCAACUUCAUGAUGGUGCACUUGCAUUCCCAGUUCGAGUCGUACUAGCAGCUAAUGCAAUAACAACUGAAGACAAAGUUGAUUUAAUAAGCAUAACUGGUUCAAUGCUCACAUCUGAGUUGAAGGAUCUUAGCAUGUUGAUUCCAAUUGUAGUCUGAACCUGCUUCAGUCAGUUACAUCUUUGGUGAAUAUUAUUGUAGAUGCCUAGAUGGUGGGGUUGUAAUGGCUUAGUCAAACAUCCACAAGCUCCCACAUUCAUUUCAGACAUUGAAUCAGAUCCUAAUUAAGCCUUUCGAAUGCGAGAGGAUGGGCUUUUGCUCUUGGACUACUAGCUUUCAAGAUAGCAGGUGGCUUAGACAUUGCACCGAUGUUUCAAGUGAUGGAGGUUAUUCUAAAGAAUCCUGAUGGAAAAACUCAGAUAUCGGUGCUAUAUGCUAACAUCUCACCAUACCACAUACUAUUGAAGCAAACACUUCACAUACUCCUAAUUAGCCAUCCAAACACCUGUGAAAACAUGGGAAAAGAUUCUGAUUGCCUUUUGUACUGAAAACUGGAGUCUACAAAGUCCAACGUUAUAAAGACGCCAAGAUGAUGAAGUUAUUCCCUGAAAUUUUUCGAAACAUCUGUGACCAGGACGUGCUUGCAGAAGAUAAGAUUCUUCAAUGAUUCCACUAAGGAUUAAACCCUAAGGGAAGAUGAGCAGUUGAGAUAACACUUGCUAGAAAACUCAUAAACUUUGAUUAAACUGUUUGUAUUUGGCUAUGCAUGUAAAAACUCACAAGCUUUGCUUAAAUUUCUUGCAUCCUCCGCCACUUCAUUGGAUUCAAUGUCAUUGAUUAGGUUUUCGUUGUUGCAGGCAAGGAUUUGAACUCAUUUGUUAAUUGGCUGGAGGAGGCAGGAGAUGGUGCUGACCAUGGAGGUUACUAUUGAAGCCCAGUAUCCAUCUCUCACCUUAUUAUGCAUCAGAUUUUGGAGAGCCUCAAAUACAGGUUGCAAACAAGGUGCACCCUUAUGAAGUGUUAGUUCAGUUUACAGCAGGUGUAUAAAGUGUGUGGGUUUAUUUCAACAACAAGCAGUUUAUCAUGUUGCUGGUUUGCACUUUUCUUUAAGACACUUAGAACUUACUAGGGCUAGUUUCUCUUUUCUUUAUGAAUCCUUGAACUUAUUAGGAUUUGUAUUUGUGUGAAUUCAGAAUUUGAAUCCUUUUUUGUAUGAUUUUGAAUAUGAGUGUAAACUGAAUUCAGUUAUAAAUUGUACAAUGAAUACAUUAACUGAUUAAUGGAAUUGUCAAAUAAAAUUUUUGAGUACAGGUUUCAUUUCA